UUCGCAAUGCCCGAAAGGGUGACGAAGCGACGCCGCGUGCGGGAAGAAGGCCUUCGGGUUGUAAACCGCUGUCGGGAGUUAAGAAAUGUAAGGAUGUUAAUAGCAUCUUUGCUUGACUAAGGCUCCGGAGGAAGCCACGGCUAACUCUGUGCCAGCAGCCGCGGUAAUACAGAGGCGGCAAGCGUUGUUCGGAAUUAUUGGGCGUAAAGAGCACGUAGGCGGCUAUGUAAGUCGGUUGUGAAGGCCUUCCGCUCAACGGGAGAACAGCAUCCGAUACUGCAUGGCUUGAGUGCGGGAGGGGAGAGUGGAACUUCUGGUGGAGCGGUGAAAUGCGUAGAUAUCAGAAGGAACGCCGGCGGCGAAAGCGGCUCUCUGGCCCAUAACUGACGCUGAGUGUGCGAAAGCUAGGGGAGCAAACGGGAUUAGAUACCCCGGUAGUCCUAGCCGUAAACGAUGGGCACUAAGUAGAGGGGUUUUA
rnacentral:rRNA from 1 species